rnacentral:rRNA from 1 species
CGUGUAGGCGGCUAGGUAGGUCCGUUGUGAAAACUCGAGGCUCAACCUCGAGACGUCGAUGGAAACCAUCUAGCUAGAGUCCGGAAGAGGAGAGUGGAAUUCCUGGUGUAGCGGUGAAAUGCGCAGAUAUCAGGAAGAACACCCGUGGCGAAGGCGGCUCUCUGGGACGUGACUGACGCUGAGACGCGAAAGCGUGGGGAGCGAACA